rnacentral:tRNA from 1 species
GUGGUUGUAGCUUAGUGGUAGAGCGCUUGCCUCACAUGUGUGAGACACUGAGUUCCAUCCUCAGCACCACA